ACCUGGGUGGCUCAGUCGGUUGAGCGUCCGACUUCAGCUCAGGUCAUGAUCUCGCAGUUCGUGGGUUCGAGCCCCGCAUCGGGCU
rnacentral:tRNA from 1 species